AUUGAACGCUGGCGGCAUGCCUUACACAUGCAAGUCGAACGGUAACGCGGGGCAACCUGGCGACGAGUGGCGAACGGGUGAGUAAUGUAUCGGAACGUGCCCAGUUGUGGGGGAUAACUGCUCGAAAGAGCAGCUAAUACCGCAUACGACCUGAGGGUGAAAGCGGGGGAUCGCAAGACCUCGCGCAAUUGGAGCGGCCGAUAUCAGAUUAGGUAGCUGGUGGGGUAAAGGCCCACCAAGCCAACGAUCUGUAGCUGGUCUGAGAGGACGACCAGCCACACUGGGACUGAGACACGGCCCAGACUCCUACGGGAGGCAGCAGUGGGGAAUUUUGGACAAUGGACGCAAGUCUGAUCCAGCCAUGCCGCGUGCGGGAAGAAGGCCUUCGGGUUGUAAACCGCUUUUGUCAGGGAAGAAAAGGUUCUCUCUAAUACAGGGGGCUAAUGACGGUACCUGAAGAAUAAGCACCGGCUAACUACGUGCCAGCAGCCGCGGUAAGAC
rnacentral:rRNA from 1 species